rnacentral:rRNA from 1 species
GAUGAACGCUGGCGGCGUGCCUAAUACAUGCAAGUCGAGCGAACAGAUGAGGAGCUUGCUCCUCUGACGUUAGCUGCGGACGGGUGAGUAACACGUGGAUAACCUACCUAUAAGACUGGGAUAACUUCGGGAAACCGGACCUAAUACCGGAUAAUAUAUUGAACCGCAUGGUUCAAUAGUGAAAGACGGUUUUGCUGUCACUUAUAGAUGGAUCCGCGCCGCAUUAGCUAGUUGGUAAGGUAACGGCUUACCAAGGCAACGAUGCGUAGCCGACCUGAGAGGGUGAUCGGCCACACUGGAACUGAGACAUGGUCCAGACUCCUACGGGAGGCAGCAGUAGGGAAUCUUCCGCAAUGGGCGAAAGCCUGACGGAGCAACGCCGCGUGAGUGAUGAAGGUCUUCGGAUCGUAAAACUCUGUUAUUAGGGAAGAACAAAUGUGUAAGUAACUAUGCACGUCUUGACGGUACCUAAUCAGAAAGCCACGGCUAACUACGUG